AAAGAAAAACAAAAACGAAAACAAAUCUAAAUGGUGAUUUCUCAAAUCUUUGGAUUUUUCCUCGCUCGCUCGAUCCCGUUUUUCCAGGUCGCCGCCUCCUUUCUCCUCGUCGUUAGGGUUUCAAAUCUCUUCUUCCCUUGUCGCAGCAAGAACGCGAGACGCAGAGAGAAGCGUGAUCCCAUGGAGGACAACGCGAUGGCAAACGGCGCGAAGAAGAAGCGGACGAAUCGCUCUGCCAGGUUGAAGCGUUCCAAGUUCGAUGCGCGUCGCGAGCAAUUACUUUCUCAAACUAGGUGCGAGGAUGAUUGCAAGAUUUCUGGUGAGGAUCAACCCCCGCUGUCACGGACAGACGCUAGUGACAACAGGAUUAGUGUGAUGGGGGAGGAUGAGGCCCCUCAUCGAAGAAGGCACACUAUUACUUAUUCCAGUUCGCCUAGUGUUACUGAUGCUGAAGAGGAGCACAAUCAUGUUGACGAUGGAGUGCUUGAUGAUUGGGAGGCAGUGGCAGACGCCAUAUCCGAAGCCAAUGACUUGGCUGACCAUGAACCUGAUUCUCUCUUCCCUCUGGCCCUUCAUUCAGUUGCUGCAUCUCCAAUUGCUAGCCAAUCCAUCACAAAGCCGGAGCCAAUUCGGAGUGCUCCCAGAGCUUGGAAACCAGAUGAUGCAUCCAGGCCACGUAGCCUUCCGAGUAUCUCCAAGCAGUGGAGCCUCCAUGCUAAAACAGAUCGGCAGUGCAGUUUGGUCGGCCAGCAGAAGGGCAUCCUUUCUUUGCCUUGCCGGUGCCCUAUCUGUUAUGAGAAUUUGGACCCAACAGACUCCAGCUUCUUCCCCUGUUCAUGUGGCUUUAGACUCUGCCUCUUCUGCCAUAAGAGGAUUCUUGAGGACGAUGCUCGUUGCCCUGGUUGCCGGAGACCAUAUAAUUCUUUGUCCAAUGGACCAGAGACCAUCAAUUUUAUGAGGACACCACCCGCAUCUCCCUGGCUAUCCCGUUCUUUUAGCAUGAUAUCGAGAUCUUGUAGCAGGGAGCAUUAGGAGCUUCAUUUAAAUGUGUUGGUCAUGAUUCCAAUUUCGCGAUAUGAUUCAAUAGUUGGGCAUAUCAUGGCCUUUAGCUGUGGUUGUUGAUUGAAUGAUUUCAACCUUUUUCUUUUCCUCUCUCAUUUAUAGAAAAUUUUCCACUCUCUACUCUGCAGAGUUAGAUCAUAGUAAGAAGAGUAGGAUUGAUGGAUGGUCUGGGAAAGAAGAGUUUUGUUUCUGUAUCAAGACCUUAUGCACCUGAAAAUCUUUCAUAAUCAGUAAGCUUGCUCAAUGGAUUCCGAAGGAUGAAAUGAGCAUCCAUACUACUUGUCUCCUUCAGAGAGAUUACAUAAAGAUUGAAAUUCAAAAUUCUAUAAGCAGUCUUUACAUCAAUUAAUGGAAGAAAGAUCUACUAUUCUGAUUAAAGUUGGUGAAAGUGGCGACUCUGAAUCGACUUCUAGCAAUGAACCAGCAUUAGCGUUUAAACUCUAUCUCGACAUUCUUCACCCUCGAGUCUGCCCAUAUGAUCUCCAUCAGAGCUAUCGGGUGUUGAUGUAGAUGCAUGGGUGGAUGAUGUCGCGUAUCCAAUCAGACUAUUUUUGUUGAUCGGGGAUCAGAUUGCAUGGUGCCCAAAUUGGAGUCUUUGUGAACUAAGGUUGCUUCAGAAUUAGUUCAUUGUAGAUCAACAAGCAUCUUGGUGUAGUUGAAUGUGUGGAGAAGGCCAAAGAGAAGUAGUUUUACCAAAGAAGAAUCUAUGUAACGCACGUAAAUGUGGUUUAAUGUAUCUGAAUAGUUUAGUGAUAUUCCUCUUUGCGUUUAGUUUAA